AUUAGAUACCCUGGGUAGUCCACGCAGUAAACGAUGAAUACUAAUUGUCCGGGCAGAGAGAUGCCUGGGUGAUACAGCGAAAGCGUUAAGUAUUCCACCUGGGGAGUACGCCGGCAACGGUGAAACUCAAAGGAAUUGACGGGGGCCCGCACAAGCGGAGGAACAUGUGGUUUAAUUCGAUGAUACGCGAGGAACCUUACCCGGGCUCAAACGACACAGGAAUACUUUUGAAAGGAGGUAGCCAGCAAUGGUCUGUGUCGAGGUGCUGCAUGGUUGUCGUCAGCUCGUGCCGUGAGGUGUCGGCUUAAGUGCCAUAACGAGCGCAACCCCUACCGCCAGUUGCCAGCAGGUAAAGCUGGGGACUCUGGCGGGACUGCCGGCGCAAGCUGCGAGGAAGGCGGGGAUGACGUCAAAUCAGCACGGCCCUUACGUCCGGGGCGACACACGUGUUACAAUGGCAGGUACAGCGGGAAGCCACCUGGCGACAGGGCGCGGAACCCGAAAACCUGUCUCAGUUCGGAUUGGAGUCUGCAACCCGACUCCAUGAAGCUGGAUUCGCUAGUAAUCGCGCAUCAGCCACGGCGCGGUGAAUACGUUCCCGGGCCUUGUACACACCGCCCGUCAAGCCAUGGAAGCCGGGAGUGCCUGAAGUGCGUGACCGCAAGGAGCGUCCUGAGGCAAUACCGGUGACUGGGGCUAAGUCGUAACAAGGUAGC
rnacentral:rRNA from 1 species